UUAGCUAUUUUUAGAUUUCAUUUUUCAAUGAAUUGAAAUUUUUUUCAAAUUUCAACAAAUCAUCUAAUUUUUUGUUUUUGUCAUUCAACUAAAAUUAUUAAUGUCCUAAUUAUUCGUGCGAUUUCCAUUAAUAAGUUAUGUCCAUCAUUUUUCUAUGCACAAGUUAACUGAGACUUCCCUUUAUUUCUAUAUACAAAUCCAAAUAAUGGACUGAUUACAUGAUAAUCUUGGACUUUGAGAAAUUCUAGUUGGAUUAAUACACAGAAUAGGAUAUGAAUAAACCAAAACAAGGGUUGAUUUAUUGGUCGAAAUUUCUAGAUGACAAGCUGCUUACCUUUUUCUUUAGGAGAUCUAGAUUUACCAAAUGGAAAUGGUGCUGCAAGAGGAUAAAAGAUAAUCGUUUAUACAAUAUGCUUGGUUAAAUAGAGUCACUUCAUGACUUAUACGUUACCUGAGCUAACCAGUGUUAAACAUAUGACCAGAGAAGCGAUGAGAAGGGCAUUUCUGGCACUAAAUAUCCUCGGGAUAUGCCACAGAAGAGUGCCCAUAACGGACAAAUUUAUACUCUAGAGUGAUUCUACUGGGAAAAGAAAGGAUAAAGAAUAAGAAAUCCGUGUUAAAUAAUUGGUCAUCAUUCCUGUCCAUCAAAUUAUUUGCAUAAAACAAGAACUGUUAUUCAUCGUGGGACAUCUAUUUUCAAAUGUUAUUCAAACGUCGAUCCAUUGUAGAGUAAUCAAGAGAGGGCAAAAGCAGAUCCAAGAGAGUGAGCUGGAGUAAAAGAUUGUUUGCUUACAAACGCAUUUACCCUUGAAGGUGCAGAUUAUUAUUAGAGUAUUUUCCAGUGGGUUAGAAUCGAGUAAUGGAAGGAUCAAGCCAAAGAAGGAACAGAAAUAAAAGUAAAAUGAAAGGGGUAAUAGGAAGUAUAAGGUUAGGUUAAUAAACUAGAAGUUUUGUCUUCUAAUUUAAAGCUGAGAAGAGAUUGAUUAAGACCACAUUUUAAACAAAAAUGGCCAAGAUUAGAGUCGUUCAACUUGAGAUUAUUUAUUUACUUAUUAUUUGAUGAAAUGGUAGAGAAAAGCCUUUUUGAAUUACAGAUGAUUUGAUUAGUAUAGAUAUCCAUUUAUCCCACCGGCUUAUCAUCUUAAUACAAGAUACCACAGGUUAAAUCAUUAAUCACAAGAAUUAACUUGAAACCUCUGAACUUUGCUCAUCAAUUCAAUGAUUAAUUUUUACAUUGAAAACGAAACAAUUUUGUUAGUCUAAAUGUAAAUACAGUCAGUAUUGGAAAGAUUGCCAUUAAACCCAAUAAUUUGAGGUUAAGAUACUCAUUCAUUUGCACACAUUUAUAAAAGUGAAUUGGCUUAGCUUGUUGGAUCAAUGAACAGGUGAAUAAAUAAUACAACUGGAAAGGUUAGGUUAAAGUUAGGUAAACCUGAACAAUUAUUGUCAUCUUAACAGUUGAAAUCAAUUUUCACUGGUUUGCUUGAUAAUCUUAAACACUAAAUUAAACAUGUUCAUUUUCAAUGUAUUAAGAUACCUGUUACUCAAUCACAAUUGAGUUUGUUUGUUUGGGUAAAAACCAGAAAAUCAAAAUUUUCACAAUACAAAUGGCGUUCAAAAUUGUAAUUAUGUUGAUGAUUAUGAUAGAGUGAUGAAAGUAAAAUGAAAAAUCAACAUUGAAAAAAAGUCAAGGUAAUGUUAACAUUUCCCAUGAAUCAAGUUAUUACAAUAAUGGAGUAAAAUCAUGAAAAAAAUGGCCAACUUUUUCCUAAUUCUCAUCAAUUUAUAGCCUAUUUUUAGUCUAAAUUUGAUUUGAAUCUAUGUUGAUAUAAUUUCACACUAAAACCUAGACAGUUAACAAUUGUAAUGCUUUAUUUGAUUACAAGAUUUGGGUUGAAUUUCAUUGGGUUUGGGUAAAGUUGAGGUUUUCAAUGUUGCCUUUAAUUCAACAUGGAUUGACAAUUAAUUAGAUUCCGUCAAUAAAUCCAGUCAAAUUGUUAGAUGUGUUUAGAUGCUGUUACAGUCAAAAUUCAAUAGUUCUGUGUCAUUUCUCAAUGAGAGUUGAUUUCAAUUUAUUAGUCAGCCUAUUUUGAACCAGGGAAUCCCAUAUAAUUGCUUGUGAAUUGUUGCAUUUGUCAGUUGAACAUUAUUAAUGUUCAAUUUUUUUCCUGUUGAAUCAUCAUUUAAUUUUGAUUUGGGAAUGAAAAUUGAAAAAACAACAAAAUAUCUUGUAUCAUUUCAUACAAUGAUCAUAAUCAGUAGAAAACUAAAUAUUUUUUGGCCUUUUCUUUAUGGUUUUUAAUGAUAAUCAAACAAAUAUUAUUUGCCCUUAAGUAAAAUCACGCUUCUUUUCAUGAUAAUAUUGUUCAGUUGUUUUUACCUUAAUAAUGGUAAUGAUGAUGAUGAGACGCCAUGUUGAUUUCAAUGGUACAUCCAAUGUUAAUAAGAGUGAAAAUGUUUCAUUUUUAACCAUUUUUUAGCUAUGAAUCACUGUCUUGAUCAAUGCUAUCAACUUGAAUUGGUAUUUAAAUAUCUGUGACUAGUUAAUUUUUGUCUGAAUGAUAUUUUUAAUUCAAACAUUUAUUGCUAUUGAAGUUGAUUGAUUAAAAUUUAAAUAAAACGCCGUUACAAUGAGAGACAGUAACGGAUUAAAUUUGCAUUAAAAUUAUCAGCUGUUGAGAGCGAGGCAAGCCUUUCAAGAAAGUUAUUAAUUGUAACAUUUAUUUUUAUUCUUUAUUUAUAUCAUUAGUAUCAGAUGAUUAUCGUUUGUUAUCAAUUAAUGAGGCCUUUUUGUCGUAUCUAUCGUUAACCAUGUAUUGACUUGACAGUGAUGACAUUUUGAUAAGAUAUUUCUUCAUGUGCAAAGCAAAGUGAUAACCUGGUUGAACAUUUAUCAUAACAGAUUUGUCAAUCAAAAACUAUAUAACUCUAUCAACACAUUUUUUCCGUUUUAAUCAACUUAAACCCGUUUUUAAGCCAAAGGACGGGUUAAAAAUGUCUUGGUGACAAUUAAUCAGAUAAUACACGUUAAUGUAUUUUACACUUCUAAAGUGUUAGCUUUAAUCCAAGACGAUGGCCAAUGGUUAAACUAAUAUUUUAGUUUUGGAUGGAAAGUAAAAUGAUUUUUGACAUUGUAUCUCGCACAUCGGAGGAUUUUUCAGAGGAUUGAAUGUUCAUCAUCGCUCAAGUUUCAUUUUGACAUCUUAAUAGCUCAACUCGAACAGGAUCAACAGCUUUCGGACAGUCAGCCAUUGUAAUGAAACGAAAAGCUUCAUUAUGCAAAUAAAAGCAGCCUUGAUGAACAAGGUUUAAGUAAAA